AUGGCUGGGAAACCAGCUCUUGGGGCAAUGGUCCAGUGCCAGGGUGUCACAGCAGUUCCCCUCUGCAGAGCAGGGGCUGGGAUUUAACCAGCUGUGCUCUUUUCUGCUUCCUCUCCUGCCUACAAGGAGGUGGCUGCUCCAAAUGUUGCUGCUCACUGUGGAAGCAGAUUUCCUUUUCAGGAACCAAAUGCUUCGAUAGAAAGCUCGAAGGAGAGUUGCUGGUGUAUAAAAGGAGUUGAUGCAUGCAAAAAAGAAAAACACAAAAUGGUGCUAAGGUGCAGCAAGGCAUGACCUGUGCAGGGUCCACAGCAGCUCCUGGGCCAUUCCCUUCACCUCUGGGUGUUUUGGGAGACAAGGUUGAUUAGUUUUCUGUCACAAAAGGUGAGGGCGUCAGAAACUGGGCUGGGAUUUGCCAUUAGGACACGGACUCCAUUUAAUGCUUUUUGGGUUUUGGUUUGUCUGCUUACAGGAGAGACUCGGGACUGAAGGACAGAGGUACUUGAUGAAAUAAAUUUCCACUUUUAUCUUUGGAUAUGGGUAAAAAUCGAGCUCCCAUUGCCUUCAGUGACAGCUGGAAGUCAGUUUCUGCUCUUGGAACUGUUUGAACUGCCUGACCCCUCCUGAGUUUUGGGGGUAUCCAACCUGAGGAAGCCAUCCUGAAGCUGUAAGGAAGAUUUGGCUUCAGGAGAGCCUGUCACAACUUGCUGAACUGCUGCAGGACAUGGUCUGAUGACAGCCAUGUGGCACUGUGGCAUCUAACCCCCACCAUUCUGGAGAUUCAGCAGGAGAAGCCCCAAGGAGAUGACAAACAAACAAACAAACAAAGUCCAGCUGCUCUGUUGGUGUGAAUGGAUUGGCUGGAGCCAGGUGGAUUCCUGCCAGCAAUGAUUUCACUGGUAAAACCCCAAAGCCCCUCAUUUUGAAAAGACUGUAAGCUGAGACUGGAGACGGCAAACAAAAUUUCCAGCAGAGGAAAACCACUGAAACAGAAAUACAAGACCUGAUUGGCAACCUGGGAGGAGAAACCUGAGGUAGCUGAGGGCCUGGACACAAGGGAGCAUCCCAAACAAACACUCGUCAGUCCCUUGAGGUGUCUGUUACCCCAACAAGUGCCAGUCCUCGUGAAGCUGGUUCAGAAUAAAGCUGCAGAGCAGGUGUUGGAAGGGUCAGGUGAGUAGGUCAGAAGUGACCUGCACUUAAAACCCCUCCCCUUUGUUAUGAAUGUAUAAAUAAAAUUAUGUAAACCCAAACUGCCCAGCCACGCCAAGACCUUUGCUUGGCAAAGCCUUUACCUUACUUUUGAUGUUAGAUGAACAUCUAGCAAGCUUAAUUAAAGUUUAAUUAGUGUAAGUAGGGUAAAUGUGGUAGGUCAGCAGGCACAGCAGAUGUUAAAAUACUGUUGGCAAUAAUCAACCAAAAAAAAAAAAGGGAAAAGUCCCUUC